GUGGGUAUGCGAUGGGUCCGUGUCUGAUUAGGCAGUUGGCGGGGUAACGGCCCACCAAACCGACGAUCAGUAGCCGGCCUGAGAGGGCGGACGGCCACACUGGGACUGAGACACGGCCCAGACUCCUGCGGGAGGCAGCAGUGGGGAAUAUUGCACAAUGGGGGAAACCCUGAUGCAGCGACGCCGCGUGAAGGAAGAAGUAUCUCGGUAUGUAAACUUCUAUCAGCAGGGAAGAAAACAGACGGUACCUGACUAAGAAGCCCCGGCUAACUACGUGCCAGCAGCCGCGGUAAUACGUAGGGGGCAAGCGUUAUCCGGAUUUACUGGGUGUAAAGGGGGCGCAGACGGCCAUGGCAAGCCCGGUGUGAAAGGCAGGGGCAUAACCCCUGGACUGCACUGGGAACUGUCAGGCUGGAGUGCCGGAGGGGUAAGCGGAAUUCCUGGUGUAGCGGUGAAAUGCGUAGAUAUC
rnacentral:rRNA from 1 species